rnacentral:rRNA from 1 species
UGUAAGCGUAUACCAAAGUUGUUGCAGUUAAAACGCUUGUAGUCGGACUUUGGCAGUUCCGGAUGUGUGCACGUCGUGUGCGCACUUCGCGGGGAUUGCUUUUGUGGUCUUGCGUAGGAUGAGGCACUUUUAUUAGUGAACGUCCUCACGCAACCACUUUUUACUGUGAGAAAAUCAGAGUGCUCAAAGCAGGCAUUUGCCGUGAAUGUAUUAGCAUGGAAUAAUAGAAUAGGACUUGGUUCUAUUUUGUUGGUUUGUUGGGACUGAGUAAUGAUUAAGAGGGACAGUUGGGGGCAUUUGUAUUUCGGUGCUAGAGGUGAAAUUCUUAGAUUACCGAAAGACAAACUGCUGCGAAAGCGUCUGCCAAGGAUGUUUUCAUUGA